AGCCCCACACGCCGGCAUUCAGGGUUGAGAAAGGCUGCGUGGAAAUGAGUCCAGGCAAGGUGGAGUUGUUCACCUGUGGGUGGUAGUUCAGUCACCGCCUCCUGUCGGACAGCACUCAGAAUGAUCCCCUUGACCUCCUUGCCCCACGGCCUCCUGAGAGACUGUUAGUCACUGUUACAAAGUUCUACACCCGCAGGGCUAGCAAGAUGACUCUGUGGGUAAAGGUACUGUCACCAAGCCUGAUGAUCUGAGUUCCAGCCCCAAGAUCCAAACGGUGGAAGGAACUGGCAAGUUGUCCUCUGAUCUCCUCAUGCGUGGUACACUAAAUAGAUACACGUAAUAAUAAUAUAAAGACAAAAAUCAAAAACCUUCCCCCCAGUUCAAGCAGUUCAGAUGCUGACUACUUCCUGCUUAUCAUCCCUUCCAGCACUAGUUGGUUAGGUUCCUGUCUUCAUGCUGAGUCAUGGAUUUUCCCUUCCUCCACAUUAAAGGUCAGAUCUCAA